rnacentral:rRNA from 1 species
UUAACACAUGCAAGUCGAGGGGCAGCAUUUUAGUUUGCUUGCAAACUGAAGAUGGCGACCGGCGCACGGGUGAGUAACACGUAUCCAACCUGCCGAUAACUCCGGAAUAGCCUUUCGAAAGAAAGAUUAAUACCGGAUAGCAUACGAAUAUCGCAUGAUAUUUUUAUUAAAGAAUUUCGGUUAUCGAUGGGGAUGCGUUCCAUUAGUUUGUUGGCGGGGUAACGGCCCACCAAGACUACGAUGGAUAGGGGUUCUGAGAGGAAGGUCCCCCACAUUGGAACUGAGACACGGUCCAAACUCCUACGGGAGGCAGCAGUGAGGAAUAUUGGUCAAUGGGCGAGAGCCUGAACCAGCCAAGUAGCGUGAAGGAUGAAGGCUCUAUGGGUCGUAAACUUCUUUUAUAUGGGAAUAAAGUUUUCCACGUGUGGAAUUUUGUAUGUACCAUAUGAAUAAGGAUCGGCUAACUCCGUGCCAGCAGCCGCGGUAAUACGGAGGAUCCGAGCGUUAUCCGGAUUUAUUGGGUUUAAAGGGAGCGUAGGUGGAUUGUUAAGUCAGUUGUGAAAGUUUGCGGCUCAACCGUAAAAUUGCAGUUGAAACUGGCAGUCUUGAGUACAGUAGAGGUGGGCGGAAUUCGUGGUGUAGCGGUGAAAUGCUUAGAUAUCACGAAGAACUCCGAUUGCGAAGGCAGCUCACUAGACUGUCACUGACACUGAUGCUCGAAAGUGUGGGUAUCAAACAGGAUUAGAUACCCUGGUAGUCCACACAGUAAACGAUGAAUACUCGCUGUUUGCGAUAUACAGUAAGCGGCCAAGCGAAAGCAUUAAGUAUUCCACCUGGGGAGUACGCCGGCAACGGUGAAACUCAAAGGAAUUGACGGGGGCCCGCACAAGCGGAGGAACAUGUGGUUUAAUUCGAUGAUACGCGAGGAACCUUACCCGGGCUUAAAUUGCAACAGAAUAUAUUGGAAACAGUAUAGCCGUAAGGCUGUUGUGAAGGUGCUGCAUGGUUGUCGUCAGCUCGUGCCGUGAGGUGUCGGCUUAAGUGCCAUAACGAGCGCAACCCUUAUCUUUAGUUACUAACAGGUCAUGCUGAGGACUCUAGAGAGACUGCCGUCGUAAGAUGUGAGGAAGGUGGGGAUGACGUCAAAUCAGCACGGCCCUUACGUCCGGGGCUACACACGUGUUACAAUGGGGGGUACAGAAGGCGGCUACCUGGUGACAGGAUGCUAAUCCCAAAAACCUCUCUCAGUUCGGAUCGAAGUCUGCAACCCGACUUCGUGAAGCUGGAUUCGCUAGUAAUCGCGCAUCAGCCAUGGCGCGGUGAAUACGUUCCCGGGCCUUGUACACACCGCCCGUCAAGCCAUGAAAGCCGGGGGUACCUGAAGUACGUAACCGCAAGGAGCGUCCUAGGGUAAAACUGGUAAUUGGGGCUAAGU